rnacentral:rRNA from 1 species
AGCAGCCGCGGUAAUUCCAGCUCCAGUAGCGUAUAUUAAAGUUGUUGCAGUUAAAAAGCUCGUAGUUGAAUUUCGGGGUCUGUCCAUUGGUCGGGCUUCACGGUCCGUACUGGUGUGAUGGGUUCCUACCUUCUGAAUAACCAGCAUGCCAUUUAGUUGGUGCGCCGGGGAAGCAGAGCUAUUACCUUGAAAAAAUUAGAGUGCUUAAAGCAGGCUAGUGCUUGAAUAGAUUAGCAUGGAAUAAUAAAAUAGGACGGCAUGGUUCUAUUUUGUUGGUUUCUAGGAUCACCGUAAUGAUUAAUAGGGAUAGUUGGGGGCAUUAGUAUUCAAUUGUCAGAGGUGAAAUUCUUGGAUUUAUUGAAGACUAACUUCUGCGAAAGCAUUUGCCAAGGAUGUUUUCAUUAAUCAAGAACGAAAGUUAGGGGAUCGAAGACGAUCAGAUACCGUCGUAGUCUUAACCAUAAACUAUGCCGACUAGGGAUCGGACGAUGUUAAUUUUUAAUGACUCGUACGGCGCCUU